UGAGCAAUCUGCCCUUCUCAUCGGAAUAAGCGUUGGAAACGACGUCUAAUGCCGAAUACGACCUCCUUUCGCAUGAUCGGAGGUGGAAAGCUCCGGCGGAGAAGGAUGAGCUCGCGGCCUAUCAGCUAGUUGGUGUGGGUAAUGGCCCACCAAGGCGACGACGGGUAGCCGGCCUGAGAGGGUGACCGGCCACACUGGGACUGAGACACGGCCCAGACUCCUGNGGA
rnacentral:rRNA from 1 species